rnacentral:rRNA from 1 species
GACGAACGCUGGCGGCGUGCCUAAUACAUGCAAGUCGAACGCAGUGGGGACGGUUGUGUAACCCGUGGGUAACCUCCCAUCAGAGGGGAUAACCCUUGGAAACAGGUGCUAAACCGAUACUGAUUGAUGGACCCGGGGUGCAUUAGCUAGUCGGUGAGGUCACGGCUCACCAAGGCCACGAUGCAUAGCGGGCCUGAGAGGGGGAUCGGCCACACUGGGACUGAGACACGGCCCAGACUCCUACGGGAGGCAGCAGUAGGGAAUAUUCGGCAAUGGACGAAAGUCUGACCGAGCAACGCCGCGUGAGUGAAGAAGGUUUUCGGAUCGUAAAGCUCUGUUGUGAGAGAAGCGGUAUCUAAACAGAAAGCCACGGCUAACUACGUGCCAGCAGCCGCGGUAAUUC